GGAAUAUUGGUCAAUGGGUGAGAGCAUGAACCAGCCAUGCCGCGUGCAGGAAGAAGGCCUUCUGGGUUGUAAACUGCUUUUGCCAGGGGAUAAAAUGACCUUGCGAGGUUAAUUGAAGGUACCUGGUGAAUAAGCUACGGCUAACUACGUGCCAGCAGCCGCGGUAAUACGUAGGUGGCAAGCGUUGUCCGGAUUUAUUGGGUUUAAAGGGUGCGUAGGCGGCCCUGUAAGUCAGUGCUGAAAUAUUCCAGCUCAACUGGGAGGGUGGCAUUGAUACUGUGGGGCUAGAGUACAGAUGAGGUAGGCGGAAUUGACGGUGUAGCGGUGAAAUGCUUAGAUAUCGUCAAGAACACCUAUAGCGAAGGCAGCUUACUAGGCUGUAACUGACGCUGAGGCACGAAAGUGUGGGGAUCAAA
rnacentral:rRNA from 1 species